rnacentral:SRP_RNA from 1 species
GCUGGGUGUGGUGGCGCACACCUGUAAUCCCAGCUACUUGGGAGGCUGAGGCAUGAGAAUCGCUUGAGCCUGGGAGGCCAAUGUUGCAGUGAGCCGAGAUUGCACCACUGUACUCCAGCCUGGGCGAUACAGUGAGACUCUGUCUCAA